rnacentral:rRNA from 1 species
CGGGGGACAACAUUUGGAAACGAAUGCUAAUACCGCAUAACAACUUUAAACACAAGUUUUAAGUUGAAAGAUGCAAUUGCAUCACUCAAAGAUGAUCCCGCGUUGUAUUAGCUAGUUGGUGAGGUAAAGGCUCACCAAGGCGAUGAUACAUAGCCGACCUGAGAGGGUGAUCGGCCACAUUGGGACUGAGACACGGCCCAAACUCCUACGGGAGGCAGCAGUAGGGAAUCUUCGGCAAUGGACGAAAGUCUGACCGAGCAACGCCGCGUGAGUGAAGAAGGUUUUCGGAUCGUAAAACUCUGUUGGUAGAGAAGAACGUUGGUGAGAGUGGAAAGCUCAUCAAGUGACGGUAACUACCCAGAAAGGGACGGCUAACUACGUGCCAGCAGCCGCGGUAAUACGUAGGUCCCGAGCGUUGUCCGGAUUUAUUGGGCGUAAAGCGAGCGCAGGUGGUUUAUUAAGUCUGGUGUAAAAGGCAGUGGCUCAACCAUUGUAUGCAUUGGAAACUGGUAGACUUGAGUGCAGGAGAGGAGAGUGGAAUUCCAUGUGUAGCGGUGAAAUGCGUAGAUAUAUGGAGGAACACCGGUGGCGAAAGCGGCUCUCUGGCCUGUAACUGACACUGAGGCUCGAAAGCGUGGGGAGCAAACAGGAUUAGAUAUCCUGGUAGUCCACGCCGUAAACGAUGAGUGCUAGAUGUAGGGAGCUAUAAGUUCUCUGUAUCGCAGCUAA